rnacentral:rRNA from 1 species
GACGAACGCUGGCGGCGUGCCUAAUACAUGCAAGUAGGACGAGUUGCGAACGGGUGAGUAACGCGUGGUCACCUACCUAUUAGAGGGGGAUAACUACUGGAAACGGUAGCUAAUACCGCAUACCAUCGGAUGUGCCCAGAUGGGAUUAGCUAGUGGGUGGGGUAACGGCUCACCUAGGCGACGAUCCCUAGCUGGUCGGGGAGGAUGACCGUCAACACGGGAACUGAGACACGGUCCAGACUCCUACGGGAGGCAGCAGUGGGGAAUAUUGCACAAUGGGCGCAAGCCUGAUGCAGCCAUGCCGCGUGUAUGAAGAAGGCCUUCGGGUUGUAAAGUACUUUCAGCGAGGAGGCGUUACUCGCAGAAGAAGCACCGGCUAACUCCGUGCCAGCAGCCGCGGUAAUUC